rnacentral:lncRNA from 1 species
AAAAAAAUUACACUGUCAUAUAUUAUUUAAGAACAUCUAAAAUAACAUUCAUGAGAUAAUAUCUCAACAUUCCACUGAAGGAAAAAUAUACUAAGUAAAAGUUAUCCAACUUGAAAGUCUAACUAAGAUAUACUAAAUAUUAACAAAACCGAGGCAGUAAAAUAGAGGUUUCUUCUCAAAAUAUCAUUGCAAAAGCAUUUCACUAGCCAUUAGUCUUGAUUUCCCCCUUCCACAACCUGUCUAAAAGAAAGAAAAAAUUGAUUUCAUACUUUAUGAUAUCAUGAUAUACAACAACAUAUUCAAGUGUAAUUCCCCAAAUGGAAUAUGGG